AUACCAUGAUGAGGACACUUUUUAAGCAUGUUCUUGAAUCUGUUCCAAGUUUCGUCAAAAGAUUCAGAUUCACCUUGACGAAAAAUAGAUAUAUCAUGCUUCAGUUU
rnacentral:snoRNA from 1 species